rnacentral:rRNA from 1 species
AGAGUUUGAUUCUGGCUCAGGAUGAACGCUGGCGGAGUGCCUUAAGCAUGCAAGUGGAACGAUUAAUUGUUGAGUCGCAAGACAAGACGAAAGAUAGUCGCAGACGGGUGAGUAAUACAUAGGAAUCUACCUUUUGGUGGGGAAUAGCUGGUCGAAAGACCAAUUAAUACCGCAUAAGAUCGCAAGAUGAAACCUUGGGAGUAAUCCCUGGGGCCGAUAGAGGAGCCUAUGUCCUAUCAGCUAGUUGGUGGGGUAAUGGCCUACCAAGGCGACGACGGGUAGCUGGACUGAGAGGUCGAUCAGCCACAAUAGCACUGAGACACGGGCUAUACAUCUACGGAUGGCAGCAACUGGGAAUAUUGCGCAAUGGACGAAAGUCUGACGCAGCGACUCCGCGUGAGGGAUGAAGGUCUUAGGAUCGUAAACCUCUUUUGUCCCGACAUAUGUCGGGAAGAAUAAGCAUCUGCUAACCACGUGCCAGCAGCCGCGGUAAUACGUGGGAUGCAAGCGUUAUCCGGAUUUAUUGGGCGUAAAGAGUUCGUAGGCGUUUCGACGCAUUUUGCUUGAAAUACCAAGGCUUAACCUUGGAAACGGGCAAAAUAUGGUCGGAAUCGAGUCUAUUAGGGGGUACUGGAAUUGAUAGUGUAGCAGUGAAAUGCGUUGAUAUUAUCAAGAACACCAAGGGCGAAGGCAGGUACCUGGGAUAUGACUGACGCUGAGGAACGAAAGCUAGGGGAGCGAAAGGGAUUAGAGACCCCUGUAGUCCUAGCCGUAAACUAUGCUCGCUUGAUUUCCUCUAUUAGGUAGGGGGGGUCGUAGCUAACGCGUGAAGCGAGCCGCCUGGGGAGUACGGCCGCAAGGUUGAAACUUAAAGAAAUUGACGGGAGAGUGCACAACCAGGGGAGCAUGUGGUUUAAUUCGAGACGAAGCGAAAGACCUUACCUGGGUUUGACAUGCUACCGUUUUAGCUUGGCAGAAACGUCGAGUGAUCCAACGAAAGAAGGAAGGUAGCACAGCUGUUGCAUGGCUGUCGUCAGCUCGUGCCGUGGGGUGUCGACUUAAGUGUCGAAACGAGCGCAACCCCUAUUCUGUGUUCAAUAGUCACAGGAGACUGCCCCGCCUCAGGCGGGGAGGAAGGAGGGGAUGACGUCAAGUCAGCAUGACGCUUAUGUCCAGGGCCACACACAUCCUACAAUGGGAAGUAACAAUGGGUUGCCAAGCCGUAAGGCGGAGCUAAUCCCACCAAACCUUCCCUCAAUUCGGAUUGAGGGCUGAAACUCGCCCUCAUGAAGCCGGACUUGGUAGUAAUCGCGGAUCAUCAGGCCGCGGUGAAUACGUUCUCACUCUUUGUACACACCGCCCAUCAAUCCAACAAAGUCAGGGGUGCCUAAUGUCUCGGCGUCUGCCGGGAGAAGGGCAAACUUGGCGAUGAGGGAUAAGUUGUAACAAGGUAUCCCUAGCCGAAGCUGGGGAUG